rnacentral:rRNA from 1 species
CCCUUAGAUGUCCUGGGCCGCACGCGCGUUACACUGAUGCAUUCAACGAGCUUAUAACCUUGGCCGAGAGGCCUGGGCAAUCUUGUUAACGUGCAUCGUGAUAGGGAUAGAUUAUUGAAAUUAUUAAUCUUGAACGAGGAAUUCCUAGUAAACGCAGAUCAUCAAUCUGCAUUGAUUACGUCCCUGCCCUUUGUACACACCGCCCGUCGCACCUGCCGAUUGGAUGGUCCGGUGAAGCCUCGGGAUUGUGGUUCUUGCCGCUUUAUUGUGGCGUGACCGCGAGAACUUGUCUAAACCUUAUCAUCUAGAGGAAGGUGAAGUCGUAACA